GACGAACGCUGGCGGCGUGCCUAAUACAUGCAAGUAGAACGCUGAAGGAGGAGCUUGCUUCUCUGGAUGAGUUGCGAACGGGUGAGUAACGCGUAGGUAACCUGCCUGGUAGCGGGGGAUAACUAUUGGAAACGAUAGCUAAUACCGCAUAAGAGUAGAUGUUGCAUGACAUUUACUUAAAAGGUGCAAUUGCAUCACUACCAGAUGGACCUGCGUUGUAUUAGCUAGUUGGUGAGGUAACGGCUCACCAAGGCAACGAUACAUAGCCGACCUGAGAGGGGGAACGGCCACACUGGGACUGAGACACGGCCCAGACUCCUACGGGGGGCAGCCGUAGGGAAACUUCGGCAAUGGGCGGAAGUCUGAACGAGCAACGCCGCAGGAGUGAAGAAGGGUUUCGGGUCGUAAAACUCCGUUGUAAGAGAAGAACGAGUGUGAGAGUGAAAAGUUCACACUGUGACGGUAGCUUAUCAGAAAGGGACGGCUAACUACGUG
rnacentral:rRNA from 1 species